rnacentral:lncRNA from 1 species
AGGGCAGCCCAGGCCCGCGCAGGCCCCGCGAAUCUCCGCGCGCCCCGGCCCCCCCGCCCCCCACGCCCCAGGCAGGCCCCGAGGGAUUGGCUCCCCGGGCCGACGGAAAACUUAGGAAGGCAGCCCCGGGCCGGGUGCAGGAGAGCAGAGCAGAAAUCCUUUGGAAUCUUGGAACCUAUUUCCAAAGCUUUAUAAUGCACACCAAAAAAAAUCUGACACUAAAGGGUUUGAUAUGAUUAGCUGAAGAACCUGCUUGGAACGGCUCCCUUCCACAUAGUAAGACUAAGUGUGAUCUUGUUCUUGCUUUAAUGAAGAAAUAGCAUGAUAAUGCAGCAAACACAAAAAGCACAUAGUGUUUUUCAGUAUCACCCUUGCAAAAAUCAAUUUUUUUCCUAGUUCUUAUACAUACAGCAUAAAUUGCACAGAAAUGUCAUGAUGGUAUAGGUACUGUUCUGAAUCUUGCUUUUUACUUUUAAUCACAGGCCUAUCAUUUUUUUCCCAUAUUGCCACAUAAUUUUAAAAAUUUUACUUUUUAAUGGCUGUAUAAUAAUUUAAUGGGUAUAUUAUACGAAAGCAUUUGGCUAUCAUUGGAAAUUUUAGUUGUUACUUAUACAGCAAUGAAUGUCAAUGCAAAUAGCCUUUCCUUUAUUAUUCCAUGAUGAUGCAUUCUGAUGUUUGGGAUUCCUAGGUCAAAGAAUAAGGAAAUUUAAAGGAUCAUAAUAUGAAUUGCUAAAUAACUUCCCAAAAUAUUGUGCUGAUUUGCAAUAUCAGCAACAAUGUGCAUUAGCUUCACUGGAUUAUGCCAGCACUGAACAUUGUUUUUGGAAUUUUAUUGGCUGACUUUAUAGGUAUGAAAUAUUGCUUCACUGUUUUAACAUAAAUUUAAUUGAUGAUUAGUGUGGUCGAAUAGUUCUCUAUGUGUUUACUUCUAAGUCAGAUUUUUUUUCUUAUCAGUUGAUGCUCCUAGCCUUUGCCUGUUUAUAUGUUAAGAUCUUAAAACAGUUACUUUCUAAAAAAUUUCCUGCAAUGGUUUAAAUGAUUUUUAAAUUUCUAUCUUAAAAGGAAAUUCACAUUUCUGAUGAGUCAUUCACUAAGUUCUAAGACUAUCAUGAUCAUCUGUCAGUAUUGCCAGAUCAACUUAUAUUAAAAAGAUAUUCUAAGGGAAAAAAGAUACUAGAAAACCCCUUUCUGUGUAAAUAUGCAUAUGCACUCUAUUUACCUCAGGUCCUAAGUAUGCGAUGUAUAAAGAAAAAGUGAGGUAAAACUAUUUUGAAUUGCAGCCCUAAGCACUCUGUUUUCAUGUUAUGAAAAGCCAUGAUAUAGUAGAAGAAACUUUCAAAGAUUUUAUAAAGCAUUUAGUACGUGAUUUUUGAAAUGGAUAUUGAAGAACUAUGGUGCUAUUUAUAUAUUUAUAUAAUUUAUCUUCAAGGGAUUGGUUAAUUUAUAUAAUAGAGUACUUCUAAUUCAAAAAGUUAAGACCUAUCUCUCCCCUCCUGGUUCACUCCCAACUUUAUAACUUUG